AAGUUAUAGUCCCCCGGCCCUCUGGGCUGGGGUCUUCUAUACCACCCUUUGUUUAUUACACCUUUGUUGCUUUGGCAGGCCUGCCCUCGGGCUGCUGGCUCCGGCCGGCUCGCGUCUGCCAGAGGACCCAACUCUGUAUUUUAUGAAAUCUGAGUACUAUAAAAUAGUUA
rnacentral:misc_RNA from 1 species